AUGAAAGUCUGUCACAUUUUGAUCUGCUUCUUCUUCCUCUCACUGCAGGAUGGAAACAUUCGUCUAAUCAAUGCAGAAAUCCUGGUCCAUACAGGAAGUGAAGGAGGAAACAUCACAGUUGGAUGCUCCUUCUCUUUCUCUGGAAGCAGGAAGAUCUUCUGUAAGAGAGAAUGUGAAGGAAAAGACAUUCUCAUUGAAACAGAUGAGAACAGAGCUCAGAAUGGCAGAUACAGCAUUGAAUAUAAAGAAGGAACUUUUCCAGCAUCGAAAACACUUCUGUAUGUGAGCAUCACAAAGCUGACUAAGUCUGACUCGGGGCGGUACAGAUGUUGGUUGGGCAGAGCUGUGUUAAAAGAUGCAACCUAUGACUUUGAGCUCAGAGUUGAAGAUGCUCCAACCACUUCAAAACCAAAGAGGAAAACCACCACCAAAGCACCUUUUACACCAUCAGUCCCAUCAGCCUCCACACCGACAACAACACAGAGUUUAAGCUCCAGUUCAGGAAGCUCCACACCUUCAUCAUCCUCCCCUGAAACCACCAACCAGCCUGAACAGCAACAGAGAGCUGCAGGUCCAGGUUUACUGCUGUAUGUGAGUCUGACUCUGGUUGUCAUGAUCAUCGUAUUAUCAGCGGCUGUGCUGAUAUUCUGCAGGAAGAGGGCCAGUAAACCCAAAGAACCUCCUGUGGAAACUGAGUAUGCUAAUGGGACAGAGGCCAACAGAGUGUAUGAGGAGAUCAGAGAGGAGGACAGACAGAGCAGAUCUCCUUCUGCAGAAAUAUCUACAGCUUACACUUACGCCAAAUACUCCAAACCAGAUGCAGUUGAAACCACAGAUGAGUACAGCCUUAUCACUGCAGCCGGUCCCCAGAACCAAACUGAAGACGACCUGAGUAAACUCACCUACUCUGAGGUGGAUUUCUCCAACGGUGCAGCUGCCUCGCCCAACAGCGCCCUCUGUGGUGAUGCAGAUAACGUGGUCUACUCUGUGCCUCGGUCAGACGCGAGCUAG
rnacentral:lncRNA from 1 species